GGCCUUAUGGUCUAGUCGUAUGAUUCUCCCUUUGGGUAUCGGGUCCACAACACUCGAUUCCAUGCUUGGGAGAGGUCUCGGGUUCAAUUCCCGAUGAGGCCC